GGGGCUUUCUAGACUAGCCAUGCAUGCCUCCGACUAGAAGAGCAAUUCUCUCCGAAUCUGCGAACGGCUCCGCAAACCAGUUGUAAACCAUAGCGAGCAUGCCCUUGGUCCGGUCGAAAGGCUGGGUCUUGGGCAAUAAGGAUAACCCUGGUAAUUCUGAGGCUAAUACAUGAACGCAAAACCUGGCUGACCGGGUAACUGGAAGGCUGGGGGACGUGUGACUGAGUCGCAAUUUUGCUGGGAGUAGACGCACGUUCAGACCACCAUACCAAACAGUCUUGUCGGGGUUCGCCCUGGCUCGUCUGGGUGGCUCUCGCUUUGUGCUUCUGACCUAUCAACUAGAUGGCAGCGUAAGGGACAUGCUAUGGUGACAACGGGUACAGAGGAUAAGGGUUCGAUCCUGGAGAGUGGGCCUGAGAGAUUGCUCACACUUCUAAGGAAGGCAGCAGGCGCGUAACGUUCCCCUUGGGCAAUGCUCGAGGGCGUUAGGGGACAUAUGAAUGCCUGCCUUUUGGUGGGCAAUUCAAAUGGGUCUGUUCUAAACAGCCUCUCGAGUAACAAUUAGAGGACAAGUCUGGUGCCAGCACCCGCGGUAAUUCCAGCUCUAAUAGCAUACGUUAAAGUUGUUGCGGUUAAAACGCUCGUAGUCGGCUUAAGAUCUUCAGAUUCUUGCGCUGGGAGCCGGGUCCGUUGCCCUCGUAAAGGGCACGCCGGGGACUGGCAAUGGAGGACGUUGGUCGAACGCAUUUCAGGCUGCCUCUUCGGAGUCGCAGGGCUGGGGGUUCGCCCCCGGUCCGGCCUGGAUGCCAUUUACCAUGAUUAAACCGGAGUGAUCAAAGCAUGUCUUUCGACACGUACGGCGCAGCAUGGUAUACUCUCACUGGCCGGGCCCUAUUGCGGGGGCCCGGUUGGUAGAAGCGAAAGGGAUGUUCGAGGGUGACCGAAUUGCUGGGCGAGUGGUGAAAUACGUUGACCCUAGCAAGUCGACCAAAGGCGAAAGCAGUCAUCAAGGGCAUACCCGUUGAUCAAGAGCGAAAGUUAAGGGUUCGAAGACGAUCAGAUACCGUCGUAGUCUUAACUAUAAAUGAUGCAAACCAGAGAUAGGACCCUGUCCAUCUCGACUCCUUCUGGAUCCUGGAGAAAUUAGAGUCUUUGGUCUGGGGAGUAGGCACGG
rnacentral:rRNA from 1 species